AAACUCGCCUACAUGAAGCUGGAGUUGCUAGUAAUCGCGCAUCAGCCACGGCGCGGUGAAUACGUUCCCGGGCCUUGUACACACCGCCCGUCAAGCCAUGGGAGCCGGGGGUACCUGAAGUACGUAACCGCAAGGAGCGUCCUAGGGUAAAACUGGUGACUGGGGCUAAGUCGUAACAAGGUAUC
rnacentral:rRNA from 1 species